GUUGGUUUUGGCAUCACACAGGGGAAGCUCUUGCCCCUCCAUUCUCUGGGUUUGAAGAUGUCCAUUGGAGCCUGCCGAGUCUGGGAUUCUGCUAAUGUAACCUUGUUUGGUCCUCUGGUUCCUGUCUUCUGCAAUAUGGUAUUUAGUGAGCUACUGAAACACUCCAAUCCUGGAAAUACUGAUGCGCCCAAUUAACCUUACUCAAAAGACCACGGGUUGUUGAGAGGCUGGGUUUGUGAAGAGUGGAUGACCCUUAAAUACCAGAUACAAUACAUUAUAUAAUAAAAAAAUGAUCAAUAAAUAUUGGAAAAAAUGUCUACAAGCAGCAGGGCAGUGAUGAGCUUGCAGGGCCUUGCUGGUGUCUCCACAUGGAAACAAAACGGAGCCAAUCUUGCUUUGAAGAACUUUUUGUCUACUUCACAAAUAGCAUCUCUCUUGGCGGGCUGGCUGAUGUCCUAUGUAGCACGUCAGCGAAAGAAAAGGAGCCAUCGUUCUCCUUUGCUUUGUCUGAGUUUCAUUCAGGGCGUCAGGAGUUUCCAGAGACGUGGUCUGGAUGGGCAUCCCUCGGCUCCUUCAAGCUGUCUUCCUCUCCUGGCUGGGGAAUGCUUCAGGCUAUUAGAAGUCAGCAUUGUUGGUGUUUUGUUUCACGAGGACAAGCUGCUCACCCCCUUAAAGCAAGUGG